GCUACUUUUGUGUUAUGCACGUUUUCCUAUACAGAAACAAACAGAAAGCUUUUUCUUACUGACGCCGCUUUGUCAUUGUUUUUGAAAUUUUGAAAUUCAAAUUUCUCAUCCUUAAACUUUUGUCCCUCUUAAAUCUGAGUUCAGGCUCAUUCUCUCAUAAUAGGAGUAUUCUUUUGUUAGUCAUAACUAUUUAUAUAUUUGUAGCUGAAGGUUAGAUGCAUCAGUUUUUGAUUGUAGAAGAUGUUACCAAAUCUCAUAAUAUUCGAGUCAAAGUGUCGAAAGCAGAAUGACAAAGAGACGGGAAGAUUGUGAAAUAACGGUAAUUAGGCACUUUGUUAGUGCGUGUGCUAGAAUUCUCGGACUGGAGGGUACACCUGAAGGAGUGGAAGAUCAAGGAAGGCUGACCCGUGUGGUUGCGGUUGGAGAGGAAUGAAGUUUGAAAUGAAAUAAGUAUGUGUGAAACAACGUAAGUGUAACAUAGGGAUGAUAUAUUUAAGUAGGUGAGAUCAAAGUUGAUGAUGUAGCAGACAAUAUCGGUGAAUGAUGCGGGUGGGAGAGAAGAUCGAAUACAUCUGUACACUAGAAUUUAGUGAUCUGAAGUUUUAGAAAGGCAUGAACGAAGUUAUGGAUAUUGUACUUGGAUGUUAAGAAAACAGACUUUACUCCCAAUCCUGUGAAUUUCAGAAGAUGGUAACAUAUAGUUUAGAUGUUAAAUAUUUGUCUCCCAUGUAAAUUUCUGUUUCGAUAUGUGUGUAUAAUAUAUGUGUCUGAAUGCUGUCUUGGUUUAUAAA